GAUGAACGCUGGCGGCGUGCCUAAUACAUGCAAGUCGAGCGAACAGACGAGGAGCUUGCUCCUCUGACGUUAGCGGCGGACGGGUGAGUAACACGUGGAUAACCUACCUAUAAGACUGGGAUAACUUCGGGAAACCGGAGCUAAUACCGGAUAAUAUAUUGAACCGCAUGGUUCAAUAGUGAAAGACGGUUUUGCUGUCACUUAUAGAUGGAUCCGCGCCGCAUUAGUUAGUUGGUAAGGUAACGGCUUACCAAGGCGACGAUGCGUAGCCGACCUGAGAGGGUGAUCGGCCACACUGGAACUGAGACACGGUCCAGACUCCUACGGGAGGCAGCAGCAGGGAAUCUUCCGCAAUGGGCGAAAGCCUGACGGAGCAACGCCGCGUGAGUGAUGAAGGUCUUCGGAUCGUAAAACUCUGUUAUUAGGGAAGAACAAAUGUGUAAGUAACUAUGCACGUCUUGACGGUACCUAAUCAGAAAGCCACGGCUAACUACGUG
rnacentral:rRNA from 1 species